rnacentral:rRNA from 1 species
UACGUAGGGUGCGAGCGUUGUCCGGAAUUAUUGGGCGUAAAGAGCUCGUAGGCGGUGUGUCGCGUCGGUCGUGAAAACUUGGGGCUUAACCCUGAGCUUGCGGUCGAUACGGGCAUCACUGGAGUUCGGCAGGGGAGACUGGAAUUCCUGGUGUAGCGGUGAAAUGCGCAGAUAUCAGGAGGAACACCGGUGGCGAAGGCGGUUCUCUGGGCCUUACCUGACACUGAGGAGCGAAAGCGUGGGGAGCGAACAGG